rnacentral:rRNA from 1 species
AUGAGUUCGUCGUGGACAUUCAAGCAGAACAAGGUGUUCGAGAAUGCGCUGGCCAAGUACGCGGACACGCCAGACUUCUGGCAGAACGUGGCGUGGGAGGUUGGCGACGGCAAGUCGGUGGAGGAUGUGAUUAGGCACUACGCGAAGCUGGAAAAGGACGUGGACGAACCGGCCCUGAAAGAGAUGCUAAGGCACUACGAGGAGCUGCAAAACCGCGCCGGCGGCAGCAGCAGCUCCAGCCGCGGUGGCAGCACCGAGGCGCAGAGGUAUACAUGCUCGUACGUGCUAGCAUUUGCUCUGUCCGAACAAUAUGAUCUUCUUUUCGCGAUAUCAUUGUGUUAUCGUCCUUGGAGCUUGUUUUGUCUAAGCAAGGCAUGA